rnacentral:rRNA from 1 species
UACGUAGGGUGCAAGCGUUGUCCGGAAUUAUUGGGCGUAAAGAGCUCGUAGGCGGUUUGUCGCGUCUGGUGUGAAAAUCCAGGGCUUAACCCUGGACCUGCAUCGGGUACGGGCAGACUAGAGUGCGGUAGGGGAGAUCGGAAUUCCUGGUGUAGCGGUGAAAUGCGCAGAUAUCAGGAGGAACACCGGUGGCGAAGGCGGAUCUCUGGGCCGUAACUGACGCUGAGGAGCGAAAGCAUGGGGAGCGAGCAGG